GGCUAACGCUAGCGGCGCGCAUAAGACAUGCAAGUCGUACGGGCCAGGGGCUUCGGCCCCUGGUCAGUGGCAGACGGCUGAGUAACGCGUGGGUGACCUACCCGGAAGUGGGGAAUAACCACUCGAAAGGGUGGCUAAUACCGCAUACGCUUGCCGGCUGUGGCCGGCAAGGAAAGCCGCAAGGCGCUUCCGGAAGGGCCCGCGUCCGAUUAGCUAGUUGGUAGGGUAAUGGCCUACCAAGGCGAUGAUCGGUAGCUGGUCUGAGAGGACGGCCAGC
rnacentral:rRNA from 1 species